rnacentral:rRNA from 1 species
AACGACUCUCGACAACGGAUAUCUCGGCUCUCGCAUCGAUGAAGAACGUARCGAAAUGCGAUACUUGGUGUGAAUUGCAGAAUCCCGUGAACCAUSGAGUCUUUGAACGCAAGUUGCGCCCGAAGCCAUUASGCUGAGGGCACGUCUGCUUGGGUGUCACGC